UAGAGAAUGGUGUUGAGUUGGUAACUCUUCUCUAAACUGAUCAUGGCUUCCAGAAGAUGGAUAAUGAUGGCUUAUAUUAGAAGAGUGUUGAAGCUUAGGUUCAUUUGGUAAUUCUUGUUUAAAAUGGUCAUGGCUUGUGGCAGAAGAGUGUUGAAGUUUAGGCUCAGUUGGUAGUAAAUUUGGUGUGAUAUGAUCAUGGCUUGAAGGGUAUUGAGGUAAAUGUUUAUCUUGGCUUGAAGGGUAUUGUGGUAAUUGUUGAUUUUGGUGUUGUGGUAAAUGUUGAUUUUGGCUUGAAGGGUGUUGAUGUAAAUGUUGAUCAUGGCUAGUUGCAAAAUGGUGUUGAGGUUUAGGCUCAGUUGGUAGUAAAUUUGGUGUGAAAUGUUGUGGUAAAUGUUGAUCAUGGGUUAAAGGGUAUUGUGGUAAAUUUUGAUCUUGGCUUGAAGGGUAUUGCGGUAAAUGUUGAUCAUGGCUUGAAGGGUAUUGUGGUAAAUGUUGAUCAUGGCUAGUUGCAAAAUGGUGUUGAGGUUUAGGCUCAUUUGGUUGCAACUUUGGUGUGAAAUGUUGAUCAUGAGGUAAAUGUUGAUCAUGACUUGAAGGGUAUUGUGGUAAAUUUUGAUCUUGGCUUGAAGGGUAUUGUGGUAAAUGUUGAUCAUGACUAGUUGCAAAACGGUGUUGAGGUUUAGGCUCAUUUGGUGUAAAAUGAUCAUGGCUUGAAGGGUAUUGUGGUAAAUGUUGAUCAUGGCUUGUUGCCAAAGGGUAUUGAGUUUUUGUUGGAUAGGAAUGUUGUUGCAAGUUUUGAUCAUGAUUUUUGGGGUAUUGA
rnacentral:lncRNA from 1 species